rnacentral:rRNA from 1 species
CAGCCGUAAACUAUGCGCGUUAGGUGUACUGGUGACCACGAGUCACCGGGGUGCCGAAGGGAAACCGUGAAACGUGCCACCUGGGAAGUACGGUCGCAAGGCUGAAACUUAAAGGAAUUGGCGGGGGGAGGCACCACAACGGGUGGAGCCUGCGGUUUAAUUGGACUCAACGCCGGAAAUCUCACCGGAUAGGACAGACAUAUGAUAGUCGGGCUGAAGACUCUACUUGAUGAUCUGAGAGGAGGUGCAUGGCGUCAGUGACU